CAUGGGUUCUAAGGAUGUUGUUCUACAUAUUCGACCUAUCCGGUCGUCGGGUACCAUUGCUAGAUGGUCACUUCGAUUGGUACAAAAAUUUGUUCCUAUGCUACCGGCUUAGGUUCGGACCUAUGAGGUCACACACAUUAGAGUUCAUGAUCUGAUCAGAUGGUUGAUCAACGGUUAAGAAUCGUUCUAGGGUUAAAUGAUCAAUACGAUUGACAUUUAACCCAGUGCAAGUGUUGUAGGAGGAUCUAUUCGCAAUUCGAUUGCUGAUUGGCUUAAUUUGAUUAAGCCAAUGGGCUGAGAUUAAGUCUAAUUAAAUAUAAUUUAAUUAGAUUUGGUUUGGACUUGAUUGGAUCAAGUCCAAUUGGUUUAUUGGAUAAGCCAAGUGCAAGGAAAAAACUAGUCCUAGUUCAACUAGGACUUGGGUCAAUCUAAUUUCUAA
rnacentral:lncRNA from 1 species